ACAGAAAGUACACAAGUCUCUGAUUUAUGGGAAUACAGGGCUAUUCCUGUAACACUACACUGUAACAGAUUUUUGUAAAUUAAACAGUAUUUUACAGUAAUAUGCACAGUAUAAUACUGUUAAAUGUGUAACCAGUAUUAUACUGUAAAUAGCAAAGGAUUAUGGGAAAAUGUAUGCUCACUACUGUAAUUCUUCUCUACUGUAAAUCGAUUUACAGUAGUGCAAAUGCCCGCAAAAACUGACCAAUGAAAAGGGAGAUUUCUUUUCAAGUUUUUUUCCGUUUGUUGGACGUGGCAGAUAAUGGAGGAAUGACUCAACAAAAAGAACUGUGCCAUUUGGAAUGUUGGAGGUGUCCGUGGAGCCUUUUUCUGGCAUUUAACGUAACGUAACCGUCAAAACUGUGGAAACUGUUAGCUGUUAGAUCUGUGCCAUUUGGGACGUCGGAUGAGCCUUUUUCUGGUCGUUACCGUCAAAACUGGUACCUAAGACUGUAAAGAAGAUAUUUUGAAGAAAGUUGGUAACCAAACAGCAUUGGACCCCACUCACUUCUAUUGUAUAGAUACAAAACUAUUUGCAAGUGAAAGGCGUCCAGUUAACAGCAUUUUUCAAAAUAUCUUCUUUUGUGUUCUGUGCAAGGCAGAAAGUCAUUCAGGUGUGAAAUGACAAGAGGGUGAGUAAAUGAUAACAGAUUUAAGUAUAUCACUUUAAGUAUAUUCUUUAUACAUGUAAUGAAUCUCUCUCAGCCUGUUAAUUGCUGUACUUUUAGAUGACUGCAAUUCCAGCAGAUGUAGAGGGAUCCCUCUCUGUGCCCAGCACCCCAAGACUGAUCGCACUUGAAGAUUCUGUUUUCCGUGCCAAAAAAUCGAUGCUGACAAUGGAGAGCAGAGUCAUCAUAGAGCCACAAGAGUAACAGAUUUUCAAUGUGCAAUACCAGGAAGCGGCCACCAAUACACUGGACUUCAUUCAGAGGUUCAUUCUGAGAACACACCCUGAUAGCACCAAAUGCCAAUCAAAAUCACAUAUCAGCCAGACACAGAAGAAAAAUCACCAGCCUGAAUCCUUGUGGCAUCUUUUAUCAACGAGCUUGUUGAGUAAUGAAAUUAAGCACUACUGACGAUAACACUACUAACAAAACAAACAUGUUUUUUUUUGCUGUUUGAUUUGAGUUCUGUGACCUAUGCUGUCCAAACUGCAUACUGCGACAGUAUGUACUGAUUUAAAUUAAGUACCUACCUGUCUACCAUUAAAACAGUAUGUUCUAUAUAGUUUUUGUGGGAGUAGUAUUAUUACAUUUCGGACAUACUGCAUCAGGCAUGUUUAUUGUCAUGUGACCCGUAUGCUCUUUGACCUAUGACAUUUUAACAACAACCUGUAGAUAGGCAUUGGUAAAAACAUUAAGUGGUUUGUAUGUUUUUAACUCUGUUUCCUUCAUUUUUUUGUCAGUUGUCAAUGCUUGUUUUGUUGUUUUGUUCCCUGGUUUUCUGAGUAUUUUUAGAUGAAAUUCUGUUUAAAAUAAAACUUUAACUGCUGUGAGUA